rfam:Fusarium poae strain 2516 chromosome FPOA_4 Chr4, whole genome shotgun sequence.
GCGACCGUGGUGUAGUGGUUAGCAUUAACGCCUUCCAUUCGAAAGAACUGGCAGCGUUAGAGAGGGGUUCGAUUCCCCUCGGUCGCA